UCCUACGGGAGGCAGCAGUAGGGAAUCUUCGGCAAUGGACGGAAGUCUGACCGAGCAACGCCGCGUGAGUGAAGAAGGUUUUCGGAUCGUAAAGCUCUGUUGUAAGAGAAGAACGAGUGUGAGAGUGGAAAGUUCACACUGUGACGGUAUCUUACCAGAAAGGGACGGCUAACUACGUGC
rnacentral:rRNA from 1 species